rnacentral:rRNA from 1 species
UACGUAGGCAGCGAGCGUUGUUCGGAAUUACUGGGCGUAAAGAGUGUGUAGGCGGUGUUCCCAGUCUGUUGUGAAAUCUCCCGGCUUAACUGGGAGGGUGCAGCGGAAACUAGAAUGCUAGAGGGUGGGAGAGGUAAGCGGAAUUCCUGGUGUAGCGGUGAAAUGCGUAGAUAUCAGGAAGAACACCUAUGGCGAAGGCAGCUCUCUGGGACGGUACUGACGCUGAGACGCGAAAGCGUGGGGAGCGAACAGG